CCAGGCAGCGGUGCCGUGCGUACGCGUGUGUGCGUGGGUCUGCGUCUCUCGGUGCCAGGCUCUGUCCAAGUUCGUGUGUGAAAGCGUGUGGACUGAAAAAUAAUAAAAACAGCGUCAGCAAUUUCAACAUUACCUCUGAAUAAUUCAAAAGAGAAAAAAAAAUAUAUUCAAAAACAAAUAUAAAACAAUGCAGUGAAGAGGAAAAACGUCUAUGAUAAUACAGGUUUGUGAAGGAAAAAUAUAUGUUUCUAAGUCCUUUUCGCGAGUGAACAGAAGACAAAAGUAAAAUGGAAAAUCCGAAUUAAAGAUUGGAUGACUGAAGUUUCGAAGCAGCGAACGAGUGCCCGUGACACGACCUUCAAUACAUGAACAGUGACCAAGUGAAAUUAGAUAAAUAAUAUAUAUAUGUAUACGUUGCUGUUGGUGGAUCGGGUCGUUGGACUUUCAAGAGGAUGACGGUCGACCUCAUUUGAAAAACGGAAAGAGGAGAUAAAAUAAUACAAAAGGUAAGUCUUAAAGAAAAAA